AGCAGCCAUCAUUUAAAGAAAGCGUAAUAGCUCACUGGUCGAGUCGGCCUGCGCGGAAGAUGUAACGGGGCUAAACCAUGCACCGAAGCUGCGGCAGCGACACUGUGUGUUGUUGGGUAGGGGAGCGUUCUGUAAGCCUGUGAAGGUGUGUCGUGAGGCAUGCUGGAGGUAUCAGAAGUGCGAAUGCUGACAUAAGUAACGAUAAAGCGGGUGAAAAGCCCGCUCGCCGGAAGACCAAGGGUUCCUGUCCAACGUUAAUCGGGGCAGGGUGAGUCGACCCCUAAGGCGAGGCCGAAAGGCGUAGUCGAUGGGAAACGGGUUAAUAUUCCCGUACUUGGUGUUACUGCGAAGGGGGGACGGAGAAGGCUAUGUUGGCCGGGCGACGGUUGUCCCGGUUUAAGCGUGUAGGUGUGUGUUCCAGGUAAAUCCGGUUCACUUUAACACUGAGGCGUGACGACGAGGCACUACGGUGCUGAAGCAACAAAUGCCCUGCUUCCAGGAAAAGCCUCUAAGCAUCAGGUAACAUCAAAUCGUACCCCAAACCGACACAGGUGGUCAGGUAGAGAAUACCAAGGCGCUUGAGAGAACUCGGGUGAAGGAACUAGGCAAAAUGGUGCCGUAACUUCGGGAGAAGGCACGCUGACACGUAGGUGAAGUGAUUUACUCAUGGAGCUGAAGUCAGUCGAAGAUACCAGCUGGCUGCAACUGUUUAUUAAAAACACAGCACUGUGCAAACACGAAAGUGGACGUAUACGGUGUGACGCCUGCCCGGUGCCGGAAGGUUAAUUGAUGGGGUCAGCGCAAGCGAAGCUCCUGAUCGAAGCCCCGGUAAACGGCGGCCGUAACUAUAACGGUCCUAAGGUAGCGAAAUUCCUUGUCGGGUAAGUUCCGACCUGCACGAAUGGCGUAAUGAUGGCCAGGCUGUCUCCACCCGAGACUCAGUGAAAUUGAACUCGCUGUGAAGAUGCAGUGUACCCGCGGCAAGACGGAAAGACCCCGUGAACCUUUACUAUAGCUUGACACUGAACAUUGAGCCUUGAUGUGUAGGAUAGGUGGGAGGCUUUGAAGUGUGGACGCCAGUCUGCAUGGAGCCGACCUUGAAAUACCACCCUUUAAUGUUUGAUGUUCUAACGUGGACCCGUUACCCGGGUUGCGGACAGUGUCUGGUGGGUAGUUUGACUGGGGCGGUCUCCUCCUAAAGAGUAACGGAGGAGCACGAAGGUUGGCUAAUCCUGGUCGGACAUCAGGAGGUUAGUGCAAUGGCAUAAGCCAGCUUGACUGCGAGCGUGACGGCGCGAGCAGGUGCGAAAGCAGGUCAUAGUGAUCCGGUGGUUCUGAAUGGAAGGGCCAUCGCUCAACGGAUAAAAGGUACUCCGGGGAUAACAGGCUGAUACCGCCCAAGAGUUCAUAUCGACGGCGGUGUUUGGCACCUCGAUGUCGGCUCAUCACAUCCUGGGGCUGAAGUAGGUCCCAAGGGUAUGGCUGUUCGCCAUUUAAAGUGGUACGCGAGCUGGGUUUAGAACGUCGUGAGACAGUUCGGUCCCUAUCUGCCGUGGGCGCUGGAGAACUGAGGGGGGCUGCUCCUAGUACGAGAGGACCGGAGUGGACGCAUCACUGGUGUUCGGGUUGUCAUGCCAAUGGCACUGCCCGGUAGCUAAAUGCGGAAGAGAUAAGUGCUGAAAGCAUCUAAGCACGAAACUUGCCCCGA
rnacentral:rRNA from 3 species